rnacentral:rRNA from 1 species
UGGGGAAUAUUGCACAAUGGGCGCAAGCCUGAUGCAGCCAUGCCGCGUGUAUGAAAAAGGCCUUCGGGUUGUAAAGUACUUUCAGCGGGGAGGAAGGUGUUGUGGUUAAUAACCACAGCAAUUGACGUUACCCGCAGAAGAAGCACCGGCUAACUCCGUGCCAGCAGCCGCGGUAAUACGGAGGGUGCAAGCGUUAAUCGGAAUUACUGGGCGUAAAGCGCACGCAGGCGGUCUGUCAAGUCGGAUGUGAAAUCCCCGGGCUCAACCUGGGAACUGCAUCCGAAACUGGCAGGCUUGAGUCUUGUAGAGGGGGGUAGAAUUCCAGGUGUAGCGGUGAAAUGCGUAGAGAUCUGGAGGAAUACCGGUGGCGAAGGCGGCCCCCUGGACAAAGACUGACGCUCAGGUGCGAAAGCGUGGGGAGCAAACA